rnacentral:rRNA from 1 species
UACGUAGGGGCGAGCGUUGUCCGGAAUGACUGGGCGUAAAGGGCGCGUAGACGGCUUUUUAAGUCUGGAGUGAAAGUCCUGCUUUCAAGGUGGGAAGUGCUUUGGAGACUGGGGAGCUUGAGUGCGGAAGAGGUAAGUGGAAUUCCCAGUGUAGCGGUGAAAUGCGUAGAGAUUGGGAGGAACACCAGUGGCGAAGGCGACUUACUGGGCCGUAACUGACGUUGAUGCGCGAAAGCGUGGGGAGCGAACAGGAUUAGAUACCCUGGUAGUCCCUGAG